AACACCAUGGAUGUUGAGAAAUUUGGGGUCUCUGCUAGAAUCAUGUGGACCCCAGUGUAACAAAUCUAUGGAAAGAGAGAAAAUCUCAGCUCAAGGGUCAACAUGUCUUUAUUCCAAGAAAGAGUGUACAUAUGCCAGAAUCAUAUGGACCGCAGACUGGCCCUGGUGAUUCUGUUAAGAAAAAA